rnacentral:rRNA from 1 species
GGUAUUUUGACCGUGCAAAGGUAGCAUAAUCAUUAGUUUUUUAAUUGAAAGCUGGUAUGAAAGGUUGGAUGAGAAAUAAGCUGUCUCUAUUUAAUUUUAUUAGAAUUUUAUUUUUAAGUUAAAAAGCUUAAAUUUUAAUAGAAGACGAGAAGACCCUAUAGAGUUUUAUUUAUUUUUUUAAUAAAAUUAAUAGUAUUAAUUAUUUUUAUUAAAAAAAUAAAUUUGGUUGGGGUGAUUGAAAAAUUUAAUAAACUUUUUUUGUAAAUGUACAUUUAUAUAUGAUUAAUUGAUCCUUAAUUUAAGAUUAAAAGAUAAAAUUACCUUAGGGAUAACAGCGUAAUUUUUUUUGAGAGUUCUAAUCGAAAGAAAAGAUUGCGACCUCGAUGUUGGAUUAAAAUAAAAUUUUGGUGUAGAAGCUGAAG